GCUUAGUGAUGUGGACAGGAGUC
rnacentral:piRNA from 1 species